GUCCAAGUGCAGGGGCAUUUUCUGUGCGGGUGAAGCUUAUGCUGACGCCGGAAUUUUGCUAGUUGAAAACUACAUAGUUUGACUGCUCUUGUUGGCCUGCGGGUCGGCAAGGAAUUUUUGAAACCCCAAGAACGGC
rnacentral:snRNA from 1 species